rnacentral:rRNA from 1 species
CAGUAGCCGCGGUAAUACGUAGGGUGCGAGCGUUGUCCGGAAUUAUUGGGCGUAAAGAGCUUGUAGGUGGUUUGUCGCGUCUGCUGUGAAAAUCCGAGGCUCAACCUCGGACUUGCAGUGGGUACGAGCAGACUAGAGUGUGGUAGGGGAGACUGGAAUUCCUGGUGUAGCGGUGGAAUGCGCAGAUAUCAGGAGGAACACCGAUGGCGAAGGCAGGUCUCUGGGCCAUUACUGACACUGAGAAGCGAAAGCAUGGGGAGCGAACAGGAUUAGAUACCCGAGUAGUCCCUGUCUCUUAUAU